GACGACAACGAGAAGAGAAGAAUGAGGAGGAUAGUUUUAAACAGGCGCGUGUUACACGAAGUCAAUUGCUUCAAUUCCUUUCAAAGCGAGAUCAGCUACAUAUGUGUGGGCAAACUUCCUGCAGAAUUUGCGAAUAUUAAACCUUAGCGACGAACUAUCUAGCGGGUCUCGCUUUUACGAUAUAUCCUGUCUCGGAACGGCAUUCUUAAUUUACGACGCGACUUAACGUUAACAACUUUAGUCUUAUCCCUCGUUGACAGUCGAUACGCGUAUUCAACAGAGCUCAUCGAUGAUGACAGAUCGAGAAAAAGAGGUGGAAUCGUGCAGAGGAUAUUCUAUGAUUGUUUAAUGCGCUUUAAUCGGCCCGCAUUCAGGAUAAAUCCGUAACAACAGAAUGAUAAGAAGAAGAAGAAGAAGAAAAAGAAAAAGAAAAAGAAAAAGAAAAAGAAAAAGAAAAAGAAGAAGAA